rnacentral:rRNA from 1 species
UGGCGAUGCGUCUUAAGCAUGCAAGUCGAGCGGGCUUAUUCGGGCAACUGGAUAAGUUAGCGGCGAACUGGUGAGUAACACGUAGGUAAUCUGCCGUGAAGUGGGGGAUAACCCAUGGAAACAUGGACUAAUACCGCAUAUACUCUUGCUACAUAAGUAGAGUAGAGGAAAGUUUUUUCGCUUCACGAUGAGCCUGCGGCCUAUUAGCCUGUUGGUAGGGUAAUGGCCUACCAAAGCUACGAUAGGUAGCCGACCUGAGAGGGUGACCGGCCACAUUGGGACUGAGAUACGGCCCAGACUCCUACGGGAGGCAGCAGCUGAGAAUCUUCCACAAUGGACGAAAGUUGAUGACGACAUCGCGUGAGGGAUGAAGGCCUUCGGGUUGUAACCUCGGAAAUUAUCGAAGAAUGAGUGACAGUAGAUAAUGUAAGCCUCGGCUAAUACCC